rnacentral:lncRNA from 1 species
GGCAUCAACCAAAUCUAGAGAACUGGUAAAUUGGUCAUUUGCAGCAAAUUGUCAAAUCCAAUUUGAAUCUAUUAUUUUUCAGUUACUUUAUAGGAUUAUAUGGUUAUUCAUGUCAUUUCUCAAAAGUGUAUGUAUUGUCUAAUGAAUAUCUGCAGAAAAAAAAACUAUUAAACCGCUAAUUUACAUUUAAAACGGUACAGUCAGCACUUAUACCCAAUCUACAGAACUAUAGGGUCAUUCAGGUCAUUUCAACACAUUUCAGCUGCAGCUGUAGUCGCACCAGCCGCCGAAACAAACAAACAUCAGACAUCUCCAAUUUUCCAGCCACAGCUGACAGCUACCGCUGAUUCUGAAGCUGCAAGAAUCAGCUGCAGUCCAAACAAACAAAACCUUAACGAAGCAGCAGCUCCACCUGCUGACCCUUCAAAACAAAAAAAAUGCAUAAUUCAGGUUGCGGCCAGCCAGGCGGACGUACUCCUGUGAACCAAUAAUUGUACGUGCCGCUCUAUGGGUGCGCCACUGGCUAGAGCGAUGAACC